AUUAGACGAAUCAUCUGGAAAGAUGAAUCAAAGAAGGUAAUAAUCCUGUAGUCGAAAAUGUUGUCUCUCUUGAGUGGAUCCUGAGUACGACGGAGCACGUGAAAUUCCGUCGGAAUCUGGGAGGACCAUCUCCUAAGGCUAAAUACUCUCUAGUGACCGAUAGUGAACCAGUACCGUGAGGGAAAGGUGAAAAGCACCCCGGAAGGGGAGUGAAAUAGAACCUGAAACCGUGUGCUUACAAGUAGUCAGAGCCCGUUAAUGGGUGAUGGCGUGCCUUUUGUAGAAUGAACCGGCGAGUUACGAUUUGAUGCAAGGUUAAGCAGUAAAUGUGGAGCCGUAGCGAAAGCGAGUCUGAAUAGGGCGUUUAGUAUUUGGUCGUAGACCCGAAACCAGGUGAUCUACCCUUGGUCAGGUUGAAGUUCAGGUAACACUGAAUGGAGGACCGAACCGACUUACGUUGAAAAGUGAGCGGAUGAACUGAGGGUAGCGGAGAAAUUCCAAUCGAACCUGGAGAUAGCUGGUUCUCUCCGAAAUAGCUUUAGGGCUAGCCUCAAGUGAUGAUUAUUGGAGGUAGAGCACUGUUUGGACGAGGGGCCCCUCUCGGGUUACCGAAUUCAGACAAACUCCGAAUGCCAAUUAAUUUAACUUGGGAGUCAGAACAUGGGUGAUAAGGUCCGUGUUCGAAAGGGAAACAGCCCAGACCACCAGCUAAGGUCCCAAAAUAUAUGUUAAGUGGAAAAGGAUGUGGCGUUGCCCAGACAACUAGGAUGUUGGCUUAGAAGCAGCCAUCAUUUAAAGAGUGCGUAAUAGCUCACUAGUCGAGUGACACUGCGCCGAAAAUGUACCGGGGCUAAACAUAUUACCGAAGCUGUGGAUUGUCCUUUGGACAAUGGUAGGAGAGCGUUCUAAGGGCGUUGAAGCAUGAUCGUAAGGACAUGUGGAGCGCUUAGAAGUGAGAAUGCCGGUGUGAGUAGCGAAAGACGGGUGAGAAUCCCGUCCACCGAUUGACUAAGGUUUCCAGAGGAAGGCUCGUCCGCUCUGGGUUAGUCGGGUCCUAAGCUGAGGCCGACAGGCGUAGGCGAUGGAUAACAGGUUGAUAUUCCUGUACCACCUAUAAUCGUUUUAAUCGAUGGGGGGACGCAGUAGGAUAGGCGAAGCGUGCGAUUGGAUUGCACGUCUAAGCAGUAAG
rnacentral:rRNA from 1 species